AUCGAACGCUGGCGGCAUGCCUUACACAUGCAAGUCGAACGGCAGCACGGGUGCUUGCACCUGGUGGCGAGUGGCGAACGGGUGAGUAAUAUAUCGGAACGUACCUUAUUGUGGGGGAUAACGCAGCGAAAGCUGUGCUAAUACCGCAUAAUCCCUAAGGGGGAAAGCGGGGGACCGUAAGGCCUCGCGCAAUUAGAGCGGCCGAUACCUGAUUAGUUAGUUGGUGAGGUAAAGGCUCACCAAGGCAACGAUCAGUAGCUGGUCUGAGAGGACGAUCAGCCACACUGGGACUGAGACACGGCCCAGACUCCUACGGGAGGCAGCAGUGGGGAAUUUUGGACAAUGGGGGCAACCCUGAUCCAGCAAUGCCGCGUGAGUGAAGAAGGCCUUCGGGUUGUAAAGCUCUUUUGUCAGGGAAGAAACAGCAGCUCUAACACAGUCUGCGAAUGACGGUACCUGAAGAAUAAGCACCGGCUAACUACGUGCCAGCCGCCGCCGUAA
rnacentral:rRNA from 1 species